UACGGAGGGGGCUAGCGUUAUUCGGAAUUACUGGGCGUAAAGCGCACGUAGGCGGAUUGGAAAGUCAGAGGUGAAAUCCCAGAGCUCAACUUUGGAAUGGCAGUGGAUACUGGCAAGCUAGAGUGUGUCAGAGGGUGGUGGAAUUCCCGGUGUAGCGGUGAAAUGCGUAGAGAUCGGGAGGAACAUCAGUGGCGAAGGCGGCCACCUGGGACAACACUGACGCUGAGGCACGAAAGCGUGGGGAGCAAACAGG
rnacentral:rRNA from 1 species